GCGCCCAUAGCUCAAUAGGACAGAGCGUUGGACUACGAAUCCAAAGGUUGCAGGUUCGACUCCUGCUGGGCGCA
rnacentral:tRNA from 1 species